rnacentral:tRNA from 1 species
GCCUUGGUGGUGGAAUUGGUAGACACAAGGGAUUUAAAAUCCCUCGGCGUUCGCGCUGUGCCGGUUCAAGUCCGGCCCGAGGCACCA